rnacentral:rRNA from 1 species
UACGGGAGGCAGCAGUAGGGAAUAUUGGACAAUGGGCGGAAGCCUGAUCCAGCCAUCCCGCGUGCAGGAAUAAGGCCCUAUGGGUUGUAAACUGCUUUUAAUAGGGAAGAAAAAUCCCCGUUUACGGGGUGUUGACGGUACCUAAAGAAUAAGCACCGGCUAACUCCGUGCCAGCAGCCGCGGUAAUACGGAGGGUGCAAGCGUUAUCCGGAUUUACUGGGUUUAAAGGGUGCGCAGGCGGUAUUAUAAGUCAGCGGUGAAAGNUUUCAGCUUAACUGGAAAACUGCCGUUGAUACUGUAGUACUUGAGUAUGGGAGAGGUAAGCGGAAUACAUCAUGUAGCGGUGAAAUGCAUAGAUAUGAUGUAGAACACCGAUUGCGAAGGCAGCUUACUAGACCAUUACUGACGCUCAUGCACGAAAGCGUGGGGAGCAACACAGGAUUAGAUACCCCUGGUAGUCCCACGCCCUAAACGAUGUUCACUCGAUCUUUGCGAUAACACAGUACAGUGUCCAAGCGAAAGCGUUAAGUAUCCCGCCUGG